GAUGAAGAACGUAGCGAAAUGCGAUAAGUAAUGUGAAUUGCAGAAUUCAGUGAAUCAUCGAAUCUUUGAACGCACAUUGCGCCAGGUAGUAUUCUGCCGGGCAUGCCUGUUCGAGCGUCAUUUCAACCAUCAAGCCCCAGCGCUUGUGUUGGGGGCCUGCGGCUGCCGCAGCCCCCUAAAAGCAGUGGCGGGCUCGCUAUCACACCGAGUGCAGUAGUUCAUCUUCUCUCCGAUCUUGUGAGGCGGGUUCCGGCCGUGAAACACCCCACUACAUUCAAGGUUGACCUCGGAUCAGGUAGGAAUACCCGCUGAACUUAAGCAUAUCAAUAAGCGGAGGA
rnacentral:misc_RNA from 1 species